rnacentral:rRNA from 1 species
ACUCCUACGGGAGGCAGCAGUAGGGAAUAUUGGACAAUGGGCGAAAGCCUGAUCCAGCCAUGCCGCGUGCAGGAUGACUGCCCUAUGGGUUGUAAACUGCCUUUAUAUGGGAAGAAACACUCCGACGUGUCGGAGCUUGACUGUACCAUACGAAUAAGGAUCGGCUAACUCCGUGCCAGCAGCCGCGGUAAUACGGAGGAUCCAAGCGUUGUCCGGAUUUAUUGGGUUUAAAGGGUGCGUAGGCGGAUUAAUAAGUCAGUGGUGAAAGCCUGUAGCUCAACUACAGAACUGCCAUUGAAACUGUUAAUCUUGAGUCUGGCCGAGGUGGAUGGAAUGUAUCAUGUAGCGGUGAAAUGCUUAGAUAUGAUGCAGAACACCGAUUGCGAAGGCAGUCCACUAGACCAGUACUGACGCUGAGGCACGAAAGCAUGGGUAUCGAACAGGAUUAGAUACCCUGGUAGGAUAGCGU